AUACGUAGGGGGCGAGCGUUGUCCGGAAUGAUUGGGCGUAAAGGGCGCGUAGGCGGCCGCUUAAGUCUGGAGUGAAAGUCCUGUUUUCAAGAUGGGAAUUGCUUUGGAUACUGGGGGGCUUGAGUGCAGGAGAGGUUAUCGGAAUUCCCGGUGUAGCGGUGAAAUGCGUAGAGAUCGGGAGGAACACCAGUGGCGAAGGCGGGUAACUGGACUGCAACUGACGCUGAGGCGCGAAAGUGUGGGGAGCAAACAGGAUUAGAUACCCUGGUAGUCCACGCGGUAAACGAUGAAUGCUAGGUGUUGCGGGUAUCGACCCCUGCAGUGCCGGAGUAAACACAAUAAGCAUUCCGCCUGGGGAGUACGGCCGCAAGGUUGAAACUCAAAUGAAUUGACGGGG
rnacentral:rRNA from 1 species